GGUGGCUCAGUGGUAAAGCACUUGCCUUGCAUGCAUGAAGCCCUGGGUUCAAUUCCUCAGCACCA
rnacentral:tRNA from 1 species